UAUACGUUUUAAUAUUUUGUUUUAUAUCUUAAAAUCUUGUUUUUCUUAUAACCUAAAGUACUAUUUAUUUAUUUUACUGCUUAUAAUUAAUUACUUCAAUUAAAAUAUUAACAAUUUAUCAAUAAGAACAUGGAAGUGAGUUACGAAAAUGAAGGAUAUGACAAUGAUUAUCAGUCUAAAUCUAAAGGAAGUAUUUUGACUAGAAAGAACAACACGAUGCCAAUAUGGGGCAAUGAGCGUACAAUGAAUUUAAAUACUCUAAUUUUAACUAAUAUUCAAUCAUCUCAUUAUUUUAAAGUAAAUUUAUAUGAAUUAAAAACUUACCAUGAAGUUAUUGAUGAAAUUUAUUAUAAAGUACAACAUCUUGAGCCAUGGGAAAAAGGCAGUCGCAAGACUUCUGGACAAACUGGAAUGUGUGGCGGUGUCCGAGGAGUUGGUGCCGGUGGAAUAGUAUCUACAGCCUUCUGUCUUCUGUAUAAAUUGUUCACAUUGAAAUUGACUCGCAAGCAGGUAACUGGGCUAAUUACCCAUUGCGAUUCACCUUAUAUACGUGCUUUGGGUUUUAUGUACAUCAGGUAUACUCAACCUCCUGGUGAUUUAUGGGAUUGGUAUGAAUCUUUCUUAGAUGAUGAAGAGGAAAUGGACGUAAGAGCUGGAGGUGGCCAAACAAUGACAAUUGGCAAUAUAUUAAAGAGCUUUCUGUUCAAAUUAGAAUGGUAUUCAACGCUAUUCCCUAGAAUCCCUGUUCCCAUUCAGGUAGCAACAAAUGGAAAAGAAAAUGAGUGAAAAGUAUCCUCCAAUAGUUGACGAAACGCCUAGAAGAAAUGUACCAGAAAAGAAUUUUAGUAGAGAUCGAGAUGACCAUAGAAAUAGAGGAGAUUUAUCAGAAACAUCAAGGCCUCGAGAACGAAUUGAACGUAGAGAAAGAUCACACAGAGAUUAUCGUGAUAGAGAUUAUGAACGCAAGCCUAGUCAUGCAAAUU
rnacentral:misc_RNA from 1 species